GUUCUCUCUUUUGCAGCAUAUAUACUAAUAUUAAAAUUAUAUGGCAAAUAUUAGCUUGGCCCCUGUGAAAGGAUGACAUGCAACCUAAUGAAGCAUUCCAUAUUUUU